rnacentral:RNase_P_RNA from 1 species
AGAUGGCCAGACAAUCGCGCUUAUAGCAUGUCUAUUUGUGAGGAAAGUCCGGGCUCCAAUGGGCAGAGUGCCAGGUAACGCCUGGGAGGUGAAAGCCUACGGCUAGUGCAACAGAGAGUAUACCGCCUGAUUAUUUUCGAAUGUUAGGUAAGGGUGAAAGGGUGCGGUAAGAGCGCACCGCGUAACUGGCAACAGUUGCGGCAAGGUAAACCCCACUCGGAGCAAGACCAAAUAGAAGAGUAGUUUGUUUCGGCAAACAGAUGCGGCCCGUAUCGCUCUUGGGUAGGUCGCUUGAGGCAAGUAGCGAUGCUUGUCCCAGAUGAAUGAUUGUCCUCGACAGAACCCGGCUUAUCGGCCAUCUCAU